AGAGUUUGAUCCUGGCUCAGAAUCAACGCUGGCGGCGUGCCUAACACAUGCAAGUCGAGCGAGAAAAGGGGGGCAACUCCCUGAGUACAGCGGCGCACGGGUGAGUAACACGUGGGUAAUCUGCCCUGGAGUGGGGAAUAACACCGGGAAACCGGUGCUAAUACCGCAUACGAUAGCGAGGUCUGCGGACUUUGUUAUGAAAGGAGCAAUUCGCUCUAGGAGGAGCCCGCGGCUGAUUAGCUAGUUGGUGAGGUAAUGGCUCACCAAGGCUACGAUCAGUAUCCGGUCUGAGAGGACGGUCGGACACACUGGAACUGAGACACGGUCCAGACUCCUACGGGAGGCAGCAGUGGGGAAUUUUUGGCAAUGGGGGCAACCCUGACCAAGCAACGCCGCGUGGGUGAUGAAGUCUCUUGGGACGUAAAACCCUUUCGACGGGGAAGAAACCGCAAGGUUGACGGUACCCGUAGAAGAAGCCCCGGCUAACUCCGUGCCAGCAGCCGCGGUAAUACGGGGGGGGCGAGCGUUGUUCGGAAUUACUGGGCGUAAAGGGCGCGUAGGCGGUGCUCUAAGUCGGAUGUGAAAACUCUGGGCUCAACCCAGAGCCUGCAUCCGAAACUGGAGUGCUAGAGUUCUGGAGGGGGUAGCGGAAUUCCUGGUGUAGCGGUGAAAUGCGUAGAUAUCAGGAGGAACACCGGUGGCGAAGGCGGCUACCUGGACAGAAACUGACGCUGAGGCGCGAAAGCUAGGGGAGCAAACAGGAUUAGAUACCCUAGUAGUCC
rnacentral:rRNA from 1 species